rnacentral:rRNA from 1 species
GUGCCAGCAGCCGCGGUAAUACAGAGGUGGCAAGCGUUGUUCGGAAUCACUGGGCAUAAAGGGCGCGUAGGCGGCGAGGCAAGUCGGGUGUGAAAUCCCUCAGCUCAACUGAGGAACUGCGCCCGAAACUACCUUGCUAGAGUGCAGGAGAGGAGAGUGGAACUCCUAGUGGAGCGGUGAAAUGCGUAGAGAUUAGGAGGAACGCCGGUGGCGAAAGCGACUCUCUGGCCUGUAACUGACGCUGAGGCGCGAAAGCUAGGGGAGCAAACGGGAUUAGAUACCCCCGUAGUCC